AAAGAAUGAGGAUUGCUGGCCAACGAUAUUCAUCGUCUCAAGAUGCGUUGGCUACUGGCUGUGCCCUGCGUUCUGGCAGUUAUGAUUCCCGACAGCUACUCACCAACCCUCAAUUUGUUGCUACCUUAAACGGGGCUUGUGCCAGGUCGGAGCUAGGAAUUCCAGAGAUCGGACAUAAAUGAUUGUGAAAGCAUAA